rnacentral:ncRNA from 1 species
CUGGAUAAUCGGCAAACUUAUUGAAAAGUAAGGACGCAAAGCCACGAGUCUAAGGUCAUAGACUAUGAUAGUCGGGUUGCAGGU